UAUUUUCGAGUAGUUAUCGACACCACGUCGACCGAGCGACGAAAAGUGCUACAAAAGUGAUGGAAUCCAACCCCGCCUUGUCCCCCGCAGAUAGCACUACCUAAAGUUUCAGCCAUAAUUACUGGAAGAUAACUCUAACUGAGUGAAACGGCAUCACUGGCGUUUGCUUUUUCUCUUUCACGCUGGACUGUCAUUUGAAUAAACAAAUGAGAGCGGAGCGGACGGGAAAUUAUUAAAAACAACUGAAUUCUAAACAACAUUUGGUUAUCCACUCGUGAUUUGGUGUCUACGAAAUAAAAGGAAAAAGGAGACUUGAUAUUUUUCAUGUAAUGCUGCCAAUGAUUGCCGUAACGAUACUGCUAUUCCGGCUAUGUCGCUGUGAAAAUGUGCUGCUUUACACCUCGAGCGUCUUGUACGGAACUAUGGAUACAUUCAGGAUAAAGAAUUAAAGGAAACUAUAUAAUUCAAAUAAGGUGGCUUUGAGUUGCGCGUCUUUAAUCAGAUUGUCUCUAAGCAACAGUUACACAUAUUCUUCAUAUGUGAAAACAAAAAAUAGGUUGAAUCGGCAACAAUCAUAAAACAAUGAAUAUACCGCAUUGUUUCUGCCACUUCCUAACUUUCACAUUUGAACUGCUUCGUCAGUUGCCGGUGUCACCAAUUCAGCGAAUGCAUUACAUUGUGAAUUUACCUCGUCUAAAUCAGAAAAGCAUUACACGAGUAUUGGACUGGAUGGAAUCACUUGGAAUAGAAUUAUGAUGGCUCGAAAUGUUUUAUCAGUAUACUGUAAAUUCUCGAACCAAUACAAACAUGAGCUGAGAGGAAAUUUACUAAUGCUAUAACAUUUUAUUGUAUAGUCGUUGAUUCUGUAGUAUAGUUAUGUAUAUCAUAGUAUAGUCAUAUUGCAUAGUGAUAGUAUCAGUAUAAAUAUGUACAAAUUAAAUUAAAAAUAAAAUGGUUCAAUGUUUA